UACGUAGGGGCUAGCGUUAUCCGGAAUUACUGGGCGUAAAGGGUGCGUAGGUGGUUUCUUAAGUCAGAGGUGAAAGGCUACGGCUCAACCGUAGUAAGCUCUUGAAACUGUGAGACUUGAGUGCAGGAGAGGAGAGUGGAAUUCCUAGUGUAGCGGUGAAAUGCGUAGAUAUUAGGAGGAACACCAGUUGCGAAGGCGGCUCUCUGGACUGUAACUGACGCUGAGGCACGAAAGCGUGGGGAGCAAACAGGAUUAGAUACCCUGGUAGU
rnacentral:rRNA from 1 species